CUGCCAAGGGCAUGGCUGGGUAGCUAUGUACGGAAUGGAUAAGCGCUGAAAGCAUCUAAGCGCGAAGCCAACUUCAAGAUAAGAUUUCCCACCGCAAGGGUAAGACCCCAGAAAGACUAUCUGGUUGAUAGGUCGACGGUGUAAGUGCAGCAAUGUAUUUAGCUUAUCGAUACUAAUAGGUCGAGGACUUGACCAA
rnacentral:rRNA from 1 species